UACAGAGGGUGCGAGCGUUAAUCGGAUUUACUGGGCGUAAAGGGCGCGUAGGCGGUUCAAUGAGUGUGAUGUGAAAGCCCUGGGCUCAACCUAGGAAGUGCAUCGCAAACGAUUGAACUGGAGUAUAUGAGAGGGUGGUGGAAUUUCCGGUGUAGCAGUGAAAUGCGUAGAGAUCGGAAAGAACGUCGAUGGCGAAGGCAGCCACCUGGCAUAAUACUGACGCUGAGGCGCGAAAGCGUGGGGAUCAAACAGG
rnacentral:rRNA from 2 species